AUCCGAUCGAACGCUAGUGGCGUUCUUCUUGGAGACGGUGCCAUCUGGUAGAGACACUCCUCCACGACAUGAGGGCAAAGUGGAGAAAGAAGCGUAUGCGCAGGCUGAAGCGCAAGAGGCGAAAGAUGAGGCAGAGGUCUAAGUAGACUGACCCCCCCCCCCCCCCCCCCCCCUACAACACCAUGGCUGUGACCCUUCUGGACACAACACAGGACCAAGGAUCUCAUGUUCAACGUCUGAUCCGAGCUGUGCCAUCCAUGCCAACGAGAGGCUGCAAAGAGACAGUGCUACUGUUGUCUUGGUCAAGAGACUCCACCACCUGCCUGGGAAAUUUGAUAUGGGGACUUUCUGGAUUCUCUACUCUUCUACCAAACCUACCCUACUCCAUUGCUUUUGUUUAUACUUUCCCAAUAAAGUUUUUGGUUUAAAGUU